rnacentral:rRNA from 1 species
UUUGAUGUUCUAACGUAGGCCCCUUAUCGGGGUUGCGGACAGUGUCUGGUGGGUAGUUUGACUGGGGCGGUCUCCUCCUAAAGAGUAACGGAGGAGCACGAAGGUUGGCUAAUCCUGGUCGGACAUCAGGAGGUUAGUGCAAUGGCAUAAGCCAGCUUGACUGCGAGCGUGACGGCGCGAGCAGGUGCGAAAGCAGGUCAUAGUGAUCCGGUGGUUCUGAAUGGAAGGGCCAUCGCUCAACGGAUAAAAGGUACUCCGGGGAUAACAGGCUGAUACCGCCCAAGAGUUCAUAUCGACGGCGGUGUUUGGCACCUCGAUGUCGGCUCAUCACAUCCUGGGGCUGAAGUAGGUCCCAAGGGUAUGGCUGUUCGCCAUUUAAAGUGGUACGCGAGCUGGGUUUAGAACGUCGUGAGACAGUUCGGUCCCUAUCUGCCGUGGGCGCUGGAGAACUGAGGGGGGCUGCUCCUAGUACGAGAGGACCGGAGUGGACGCAUCACUGGUGUUCGGGUUGUCAUGCCAAUGGCACUGCCCGGUAGCUAAAUGCGGAAGAGAUAAGUGCUGAAAGCAUCUAAGCACGAAACUUGCCCCGAGAUGAGUUCUCCCUGACCCUUUAAGGGUCCUGAAGGAACGUUGAAGACGACGACGUUGAUAGGCCGGGUGUGUAAGCGCAGCGAUGCGUUGAGCUAACCGGUACUAAUGAACCGUGAGG